GAAGAAGCGAAAGUGACGGUACCUGCAGAAGAAGCGCCGGCUAACUACGUGCCAGCAGCCGCGGUAAUACGUAGGGCGCAAGCGUUGUCCGGAAUUAUUGGGCGUAAAGAGCUCGUAGGCGGCUUGUCACGUCGAUUGUGAAAGCCCGGGGCUUAACUCCGGGUCGGCAGUCGAUACGGGCUAGCUAGAGUGUGGUAGGGGAGAUCGGAAUUCCUGGUGUAGCGGUGAAAUGCGCAGAUAUCAGGAGGAACACCGGUGGCGAAGGCGGAUCUCUGGGCCAUUACUGACGCUGAGGAGCGAAAGCGUGGGGAGCGAACAGGAUUAGAUACCCUGGUAGUCCACGCCGUAAACGGUGGGAACUAGGUGUUGGCGACAUUCCACGUCGUCGGUGCCGCAGCUAACGCAUUAAGUUCCCCGCCUGG
rnacentral:rRNA from 1 species